AUGUUUGACUCAGCCUCAAGGGCUGUAGAUUUAGAGCUUAUGCUCUUGGGAAGGUGGCUGAGAUGCUGCAAGCUUGACCCAUGGGUAGGUUCUGGCUACACCGGACAAUUCCAUGGUGUGGCUUUGUGUCACUGUUCUUUUGUGUACAUUGUGCCUGCUGGGAACCCCUGUACCCCAGGAGCCAGGCUGGCUAGAAAGAAAUUUUAGCUAAUCUGGCCCUUGGAAAGCACACGCAGGUGUGUUUCUGUGUGAAUGGGCAUGUGUGCCUCCCCCACCACCAGUGUGUGUGUGUGUGUGUGUGUGUGUGUGUGUGUGUGUGUGUUGGAAACCAGAAGAGAAGGGAUCUUGGGGGAAGAAGUGUGUGGUAGUUAUGAGGGGACAAGGUGGCUUUCUCCUUUCCUUACUGAGUAUGACAGGAAGGAGCCUGGGUGGCAAUGAGGGAAUUGAAACCCAUCACGAGAUCAGAGCAAGCCGGUGGAAAGAAAUCCCCUAUGUCCCGAGAGAGGCCUGGCUCCCCUCGAGCAGAGCUGGCCAAACCUGACUAGGCAGCUUGCUGUCUUUUGUGUGAACUCAAGAGUGUCCUGAGGUAGUUAGGCUCCUCCUGGCCAUAUUUCUAACAACCUAUGGUUCUCGGCAACUUGGGCAGCAGCUCCAUAAAGCCAGGACCCAGGCUAAUAGUCUCCUGCUGUCUCUUCCUUUGGCUCAGCAGGGACUCCUUACACACCCCCACUAGUUUCCUGCCACAGAGGGCAGGAGGAACUGACCCAGAGCAAGCUCUAGAAGGAAGAGGGGUGAGUCAGGCCCUCAGGGGCAUGUGGAGAGAAAUGGAGAGCUGUGGCUUCUGUGGUCACUGCUCAGAGGAAAGCCCCUUCCUGUGUGGCACUGCUCUGUCUUCUGGCUGCAGGAAGAGGGCGGGACCACUACCCUGGUAGCCAUCAGGAUUCUUCUUGGGACAGGGCGGGGUGGUGAGUUCAGCCUCUGGUGUUUAUAUCCUGAGCUGCCUGGAGGCAGCCACAUAGAGGCUUAACUGCACGGUACUACGGCAGAACUACACAGGUCAUAUGCACUCUGGUCUCUGUACAACCCUAGGGCACGCCUUUCAUCCCACAGAAGCAGUCAUAGCAGCUUUUCCCAGAGGCCACUGCUUCUGCUAAGAACUGAUGGAGAAGAGGUUGGCCAAGCUCUGGGGGUCCUGGAACUUGCUUUGUAGACCAGAAGUCUGCCUGCUUCUGCCUCCUGAGUGCUGGGAUUAAAGUUGUGCGUCACCACCUCUCAGCUUGCUGUUUUCUUACUUCAAAACAACAACAACAAACACAACCAACUUUGCAUCUCUGGUUUCCACAACCAAUGGCUCCCUCUUCCUUCACUCAAGAGUUCGGAUCUUCUUCUGCAGGGCCCAAUCUCUCCUCCACUCCUCCAUGAAGCCCCAGGGCAAGAAGUUUGCAGACUGGACGCCAACGGGCGCCUCAUCUUUCUGGAGAGGAAUCUGAGGCCCUGAGAAAAUUAUCACCAGCUAGAAAGUUGAAGAAAGAUUUCCUCACCCCACAGUCAAACACUUUUCUUCUCUACCUGGGAGAAGAGGGGUGCUGUUCUGGAGAGAAAGAGACCCCAGGAAGGGACAAGAUCUACCCCCAGUCCACAUGAUAUUAUUGUGUACUCCGUGUCAGAACAAUGCAGUUAAGGACUUAAUUAUAAGCUGUUCUGCACUGUUAUUUAAUCAGUUCCAAACUAGACUGUCAGCUCCCUGAGGGCAGGGAAAAUCCUGUGGGCUCUUGGCACAAGACUAGGCACAUGGAAGGUAGCCCCAUGGUGGGACCAGAGCCUUCGGUAGCAAAGAAAACUAUAGGGGCCUUAUUCUGCUCAGAUGCAAGCUAGCAGCAAGUGUGAGUGUGCACACAUAAGUGAUGCUGGUUCUGGUAAAGAUCCAAAGUGA